UCGUGCCCGGACCCUGUCG
rnacentral:snRNA from 1 species